UACGCAUCCACAUAUAUCCACCCAUUUCCAUCUCCAAAGCCACCCAAAAAUAUUCUACUCCUAAUCCGGGAGAGAAUAGCCAAAAAUAUUUUCUGUUUCCCUGUGAAAUAAAUGCUCAAGUUAUCUUGGUUACUGCCACUUGCUAUAUUAUUUCAGAGAUGAGUGCUCUAAAAAAAAGAGAUACGAGAAAAUAAAAAGGGGCAAGUGCCUGGAACCUCAAAGAAAAGAAAAAGUGAGAGAAGAGGUAAAAAUGGACAAGUGUCUGACAUUAGAAUUAGGGGUACAUGAUACCCACCUGAGAGGAAAGAAAAAGAAAAUAUAGAGCAUCUCAUUCUCCUCAAAAGUUUCAAAAGAGCAAGGAAGGUAUGUAUCCCCUCAAAAGAGCAAAAGUAGAAUUAGACUUUCACCAUUGUUAUCACCAUCAUCACCAUACACCAUUCAUUCACCACACAUGCACAUCUUGAUUUGACUUAUUGACUUGUUUCUUUGGAUCCAUGAUUUGACUAUACAAUAAAUGUCUUGUAAGUAUGUAUACUUUAUCUCCCACCUAUGAGCUCUAGAUAUUAAAGCCUUAUUAGAGUAGGGUGAGAGAGAAGGCAAUGUCACUAUGCCUUAUACCACAAAU
rnacentral:lncRNA from 1 species